GGGUUGUGAGGUUAAGCGACUAAGCGUACACGGUGGAUGCCCUGGCAGUCAGAGGCGAUGAAGGACGUGCUAAUCUGCGAUAAGCGUCGGUAAGGUGAUAUGAACCGUUAUAACCGGCGAUUUCCGAAUGGGGAAACCCAGUGUGUUUCGACACACUAUCAUUAACUGAAU
rnacentral:rRNA from 2 species